rnacentral:misc_RNA from 1 species
GAUGUCUGAAUCCAUAGGUUCAGUUAACUGAUUUUUUGAUCGGUUUUCGGUUUGAUGGUUUUUUGCUCACCCCUAGUAGCCAGUUCUCACGUAAUUGAUAUUUAUGACUGUUUAAGAUAUAUCUUGUAACAUAUCGUCUAUAUCAGAGAAAUCAGUGACAUAAAACCUCUCGGAUUAACGAGUAACUACUAUUUUGCAAGCAAUUGUAGAUGGAAAAUCAAUUUGGAAUGUGAU